rnacentral:misc_RNA from 1 species
UCGAAGGAGGGGAGUGGGUCCGCUCUGAACUUGAAGAUUCAAUAUAAUUUGCAUAUUAAUUAUUAAACUGAAAUAUUGAAUCAACUGAAUCAAGAAAUCUGUACAAGGCACACAAAGGUUUUGACCUCCCCUAAUUAAUCAACAAAUAGACAUCAUAACUUCUAGCUGUCCAUAGAAAUAAAAGAAAGCAAAUGGCAGUUGUUAUGAAUUAUGCAACACAUACCCUACCAAAAAGACAUUUUUUGCAAACUUCUUAACAUGUGCUUCUCCCUUGUAAAUUUUCAAGGCAGAGCGGCUGCUUGCCUUUACUCUUCACAGCCCCCUUUCUCAUCCUUUAUAAAUGCAAGUUUCUUCUUUUUACUCAAUGUCUAAAAUCUAAACAGUAGCAGCAGUUGCUUUCUUCAAAUGUUCCUCAUCUUCAAUAUCCUGCAAAUGCCCACAAAAUUUCAAAAAAUCCCCGAUCAAUGCACAGUACAGUAAAUUUGAAUAACUGCUGCAGACUAGCAUGUCCAUUUUUAAAACCAUCAUUAAGGCAAAACCUGUGAGUAACUUGCAAAAUUAGUCUGCGAAGUAGGGGUUUGCAAUAGGUCAUUCUAUUUUGAUAUUUCAUAAACUGAAAUAAACAAAACUUAUAUUGUAACCAAACUAAAGCUAGCAGUAAAAUGAGUGAACAAGAUAAACGUACAGAAUUGUCAAUCUUGUCAAAAUCAU